rnacentral:tRNA from 1 species
GCCGGAGUGGCGGAAUAGGCAGACGCACGGGACUCAAAAUCCCGCGGUGGCAACAUCGUGCCGGUUCAAGUCCGGCCUCCGGCACCA